rnacentral:lncRNA from 1 species
GGUACUCUUAUUAAACGAGUUACUUCGUCAAUGCAUUAAAGUGAAGGUGGUAGUUGUAGUAGCUCUGAAGAAUCUCACUGGUGGAGACUGGUGAUAUCUAUUUUUACUCUAUUUCCCUUGUCCUUUGCGAUGGAGUUAUUGUGUGCUGAAGUCGUGGGGGUGGCAGAGUGGAGUGUGGGAUGGAGGUUUGCCUUUUGACGGUUGUCUCCUGACCUGUUCCGCUAAGGAACAGUGUUGCUGUGAGUGGGGGUUUUUAUUGGUGGUUUAUCAAUGGUUACCUGCUGUAUUGAAAAGGAUCGUGUUAGUACUAGUGGUGCUUCGUUUGGCAUGUCCGUAGUGUGGAGUUGCAUCGGAGCGCAUGGAUAUCCCAUUCACAUCGGAGGCGGUGGCAGCUGGAGAAAUGGUGCUUUAUUAGGCAUGUUCGUGGUGUGGAGU